GAUGAACGCUGGCGGCGUGCCUAAUACAUGCAAGUCGAGCGAACAGACGCGGAGCUUGCUCCUCUGACGUUAGCAGCGGACGGGUGAGUAACACGUGGACAACCUACCUAUAAGACUGGGAUAACUUCGGGAAACCGGAGCUAAUACCGGAUAAUAUAUUGAACCGCAUGGUUCGAUAGUGAAAGACGGUUUUGCUGUCACUUAUAGAUGGCUCCGCGCCGCAUUAGCUAGUUGGUAAGGUAACGGCUUACCAAGGCGACGAUGCGUAGCCGACCUGCGAGGGUGAUCGGCCACACUGGAACUGAGACACGGUCCAGACUCCUACGGGAGGCAGCAGUAGGGAAUCUUCCGCAAUGGGCGAAAGCCUGACGGAGCAACGCCGCGUGAGUGAUGAAGGGCUUCGGAUCGGAAAACUCUGUUAUUAGUGAAGAACAAAUGUGUAAGUAACUAUGCACGUCGUGACGGUACCUAAUCAGAAAGCCACGGCUAACUACGUG
rnacentral:rRNA from 1 species